UUUUAUUACUGACGCUGAUUGUGCGAAAGCGUGGGGAGCAAACAGGAUUAGAUACCCUGGUAGUCCACGCCCUAAACGAUGGAUGCUAGUUGUUGGAGGGCUUAGUCUCUCCAGA
rnacentral:rRNA from 1 species